GAUGAACGCUAGCUACAGGCUUAACACAUGCAAGUCGAGGGGAAACGAUGAGAGAGCUUGCUCUCUUAGGCGUCGACCGGCGCACGGGUGAGUAACGCGUAUCCAACCUACCCAUUACAGGGGGAUAACCUUGCGAAAGUAAGACUAAUACCCCAUGGCAUUUUAUGGUGGCAUCAUUAUAGGAUUAAAGAUUUAUUGGUAAUGGAUGGGGAUGCGUCUGAUUAGCUUGUUGGCGGGGUAACGGCCCACCAAGGCAACGAUCAGUAGGGGUUCUGAGAGGAAGGUCACCCACAUUGGAACUGAGACACGGUCCAAACGCCUACGGGAGGCAGCAGUGAGGAAUAUUGGGAAAUGGGCGAGAGCUUGAACCAGCCAAGUAGCGUGCAGGAUGACGGCACUAUGGGUUGUAAACUGCUUUUAUAGGGGAAUAAAGUGAGCUACGUGUAGUUUAUUGCAUGUACCCUAUGAAUAAGGACCGGCUAAUUCCGUG
rnacentral:rRNA from 1 species